CCUACGGGUGGCAGCAGUGAGGAAUAUUGGUCAAUGGGCGGGAGCCUGAACCAGCCAAGUCGCGUGAGGGACGACGGUCCUAUGGAUUGUAAACCUCUUUUGUCGGGGAACAAAGGCGCCCACGGGUGGGCGGCUGAGUGUACCCGAAGAAAAAGCAUCGGCUAACUCCGUGCCAGCAGCCGCGGUAAUCCGGAGGAUGCGAGCGUUAUCCGGAUUUAUUGGGUUUAAAGGGUGCGCAGGCGGAAGAUCAAGUCAGCGGUAAAAUUGAGAGGCUCAACCUCUUCGAGCCGUUGAAACUGGUUUUCUUGAGUGAGUGAGAAGUAUGCGGAAUGCGUGGUGUAGCGGUGAAAUGCAUAGAUAUCACGCAGAACACCGAUUGCGAAGGCAGCAUACCGGCGCUCAACUGACGCUCAUGCACGAAAGUGUGGGUAUCGAACAGGAUUAGAUACCCUAGUAGUC
rnacentral:rRNA from 1 species